AGAGUUUGAUCCUGGCUCAGGAUGAACGCUAGCUACAGGCUUAACACAUGCAAGUCGAGGGGAAACGAUAUUGGAAGCUUGCUUCCGAUAGGCGUCGACCGGCGCACGGGUGAGUAACACGUAUCCAACCUGCCCACCACUUGGGGAUAACCUUGCGAAAGUAAGACUAAUACCCAAUGACGUCUCUAGAAGACAUCUGAAAGAGAUUAAAGAUUUAUCGGUGAUGGAUGGGGAUGCGUCUGAUUAGCUUGUUGGCGGGGUAACGGCCCACCAAGGCUACGAUCAGUAGGGGUUCUGAGAGGAAGGUCCCCCACAUUGGAACUGAGACACGGUCCAAACUCCUACGGGAGGCAGCAGUGAGGAAUAUUGGUCAAUGGACGAGAGUCUGAACCAGCCAAGUAGCGUGCAGGAUGACGGCCCUAUGGGUUGUAAACUGCUUUUAUAAGGGAAUAAAGUGAGUCUCGUGAGACUUUUUGCAUGUACCUUAUGAAUAAGGACCGGCUAAUUCCGUGCCAGCAGCCGCGGUAAUACGGAAGGUCCGGGCGUUAUCCGGAUUUAUUGGGUUUAAAGGGAGCGUAGGCCGGAGAUUAAGCGUGUUGUGAAAUGUAGAUGCUCAACAUCUGCACUGCAGCGCGAACUGGUUUCCUUGAGUACGCACAAAGUGGGCGGAAUUCGUGGUGUAGCGGUGAAAUGCUUAGAUAUCACGAAGAACUCCGAUUGCGAAGGCAGCUCACUGGAGCGCAACUGACGCUGAAGCUCGAAAGUGCGGGUAUCGAACAGGAUUAGAUACCCUGGUAGUCCGCACGGUAAACGAUGGAUGCCCGCUGUUGGUCUGAAUAGGUCAGCGGCCAAGCGAAAGCAUUAAGCAUCCCACCUGGGGAGUACGCCGGCAACGGUGAAACUCAAAGGAAUUGACGGAAGGGCGAA
rnacentral:rRNA from 1 species